rnacentral:tmRNA from 1 species
GGGGCCGACCUGGCUUCGACGUGGGUCGCAAAGCAGUACAGUGCAUACCGAGGACCAGUGACCUCGUAAAUCCAUCUGGAAAUUAACAAACGCCAACGACGAGCGUUACGCUCUAGCCGCUUAAUACCGGUUAGCGUUGCACCGGCAGGUUCCUGGGCCGGGUGGUCUUAGCGCAAGCUGAGCCGCUGCAAUGUCAUUUACAGGAAAUCGCGAGCAGGGCCGGGUUACUUGGUCCCGCAGCUAAAAGUAAGGUAACUCGCCUCCUGCCGGCCUGCCUGGUGGCUAAGCCGGAGGUUAAAACCAAAUAAUCGGGCUAAGUAUGUAGAUCUGACUGUAGAGGGCUUGCGGACGGGGGUUCGAUUCCCCCCGGCUCCACCA